rnacentral:lncRNA from 1 species
GAGCGGUUGACUUGGCUCACUUGUAUAGGGAGAUUAAUGUUGCAUUGUUUAAGACCAAGCACCUCGUUGAAUACGCGAUCCUGCUUUAAGUAUGACAAGGAACUUUUUAUUUGAUUAACCGUUAAACAUGUUUUUUCAUUGUGUUGUAUAUUGAUUGAUAUAUGUUGAUGUUGAUGCAUGUUUGAAAAUUACAACACUUUGAGGGAGUCGGGGCAAAGAUUAUCACGAUGCUUACAUGGAGGAUCGCAAUCACAUACUAUGUUGUUUGUACAAAUGAAGGGUCUACUUAGGUUAACUCGCAUCGUAUCUAAUGACUGCUUCUUCUACCCAUAACAGGAGCAUCACCAAACACACCCACUCAAGAACAUAAGUGUCUACUUUGGCCGACUAAAAUACAAACCUCUCAUGGUCAGUUAUUUUUUGGAUUGCGUGCUCCACCAAUUUGAAUAUGUGUAAAGCAUUCCUAAAUAUCCACAUCAGUUUUCUUCUCCCUUUAUGACUCAAAUGAAUGUAUCUCAGUACUACACAUAGUUUCUUGAUUGUGUGCAAUCAGCCCAAAACUCGGGCCAUGUUGCCUUGACUGGUAUAAAGACGGUGUUUGGAUAUUGAGAUGGUAUUUUAACAUUUCACAUCCAUACGCAAUACCAUACCAAAAGUAGAGGUUCUGAGACCACAUGAGCAGGCCCUCGAUGAUAUUGAUGUUGAGGAGCCGGGGGACAUGUAAUAACUAGACAUGAGCACACGAUUAUGUCGCAUCAAUGACCAUGUCAUAAGGAUAAUGGUUGAUGGUCAAGUGGAGCGGGGAACUCCGACAUGGCUGAGUUGAAGAAGAUUUUGUAUGAGGUAUGCAGAGGCUUGGUUUAUCGUCGAAGGCGGAUGGGGGUUGGGCAUGCUACCUAGUAGUGUUGUUUAUGUGUUGUAACAUUUGGGAUAAUUUGUGUUUUUCAAUUUAUGGUUGGUAUUGAUCAUGUAACAUUUAAAUGUUGGUGCUAAUUCCUAAAAGAAAAGAAUACUGG